rnacentral:misc_RNA from 1 species
CCUUAAAGAACCUGCCUUUGUAGUGCUCACACGGAUUGUCUGAUGAAAAUAGAGCAGUAAGUAAUCUCUGCAGGCUUGUAGCUCAGGUGGUUAGAGCGCACCCCUGAUAAGGGUGAGGUCGGUGGUUCAAGUCCACUCAGGCCUACCAAAUUUGCGAAGCAAAUUUGAAGAGGUUGCAAACGAUGGGGCUAUAGCUCAGCCGGGAGAGCGCCUGCUUUGCACGCAGGAGGUCUGCGGUUCGAUCCCGCAUAGCUCCACCAUCUUUACUGCGAACACAAGAAAACUUCAGAGUGAACCUGAAAAGGUGCACUGCGAAGUUUUGCUCUUUAAAAAUCUGGAUCAAGCUGAAAAUUGAAACGACACACAGUUAAUGUGUGUUCGAGUCUCUCAAAUUUUCGCAAUCAGAAGUGAAACAUCUUCGGGUUGUGA